UAAGGUUUUACCUUAGCCUAUUGGUUAAGUAAAAGUGUCCUAUAUGGGAUCUUAAGAGUAGAUAAAGUUAGAGUAAAAGAAAUUGCCCUCACUCCUCCCCAAUAGUUAAAUUUGGAAUCUGGUUAAUUUCCUGGGCCAGCACCCUCCCGAUGAAGUCAGUGCCAGCAGUCGCGGUUAGACUGAAGGGGUUUAACUGUAUUUGAAAGAUAGGUGGUAAUUUUAACCUUUAAAAAAGAGGUGAAAUUUUUAUUUUGAAAGGUUCCCCUAGUAAGCCUUUGAAAUUUAAAAGAUAAACAAGGAUUAGAUACCCUUCUAUAUUUAAAUGAAAAUUCUUAAGGAGAGUAGUUGUUAUAGUCUUGAAACCCAAAAGGUAUGGCGGUAUUUAGUUAAAUCAGAGGAACCUGCCCAAUAAGUGAUACCCCUCAUUAUAUCUUACCUUUUUUAGGUUUGUAUACCGUCGUCUAAGCUAUAUUUAUAAAUCUAAGAGCUAGAAGCAGAGAUGGGUAAUUCAGAUCCAGGCGCAGCUUUAAAAGGUUGAGGUGGGUUACAUUUAAACUUUUAAUGGAAAGAGGAGGAAAUGUACCUGAAAAUUGGAUUUGAAAGUAAUUUAAAUUUAAUAAGUUUAAAUGAGUGUUUUUCUAAAUAUGUACAUAUCGCCCGUCACUCUCAGUCAAUGAGAUAAGUCGUAACAAAGUAGAUGUACUGGAAAGUACCUCUUUAGUUUG
rnacentral:ncRNA from 1 species